CCGUUGCCGCGCGCCUGAGCCGCCGUCGCCGCCGCGCGCCCUGCCCGGGGGCGGCCCCCCCAGCCCCAUGGAGGUCUCCCGGAGGAAGGCGCCGCCGCGCCCCCCGCGCCCCGCAGCGCCGCUGCCCCUGCUCGCCUAUCUGCUAGCACUGGCGGCUCCCAGCCGGGGCGCGGACGAGCCCGUGUGGCGGUCGGAGCAAGCCAUCGGAGCCAUCGCGGCGAGCCGGGAGGACGGCGUGUUUGUGGCGAGCGGCAGCUGCCUGGACCAGCUGGACUACAGCCUGGAGCACAGCCUCUCGCGCCUGUACCGGGACCAAGCAGGCAACUGCACGGAGCCGGUCUCGCUGGCGCCCCCCGCGCGGCCCCGGCCCGGGAGCAGCUUCAGCAAGCUGCUGCUGCCCUACCGCGAGGGGGCGGCCGGCCUCGGGGGGCUGCUGCUCACCGGCUGGACCUUCGACCGGGGCGCCUGCGAGGUGCGGCCCCUGGGCAACCUGAGCCGCAGCUCCCUGCGCAACGGCACCGAGGUGGUGUCGUGCCACCCGCAGGGCUCGACGGCCGGCGUGGUGUACCGCGCGGGCCUGAACAACCGCUGGUACCUGGCGGUGGCCGCCACCUACGUGCUGCCUGAGCCGGAGACGGCGAGCCGCUGCAACCCUGCGGCAUCCGACCACGACACGGCCAUCGCGCUCAAGGACACGGAGGGGCGCAGCCUAGCCACGCAGGAGCUGGGCCGCCUCAAGCUGUGCGAGGGCGCGGGCAGCCUGCACUUCGUGGACGCCUUUCUCUGGAACGGCAGCAUCUACUUCCCCUACUACCCCUACAACUACACGAGCGGCGCUGCCACCGGCUGGCCCAGCAUGGCGCGCAUCGCGCAGAGCACCGAGGUGCUGUUCCAGGGCCAGGCAUCCCUCGACUGCGGCCACGGCCACCCCGACGGCCGCCGCCUGCUCCUGUCCUCCAGCCUAGUGGAGGCCCUGGAUGUCUGGGCGGGAGUGUUCAGCGCGGCCGCUGGAGAGGGCCAGGAGCGGCGCUCCCCCACCACCACGGCGCUCUGCCUCUUCAGGAUGAGUGAGAUCCAGGCGCGCGCCAAGAGGGUCAGCUGGGACUUCAAGACGGCCGAGAGCCACUGCAAAGAAGGGGAUCAACCUGAAAGAGUCCAACCAAUCGCAUCAUCUACCUUGAUCCAUUCCGACCUGACAUCGGUUUAUGGCACCGUGGUAAUGAACAGGACUGUUUUAUUCUUGGGGACUGGAGAUGGCCAGUUACUUAAGGUUAUUCUUGGUGAGAAUUUGACUUCAAAUUGUCCAGAGGUUAUCUAUGAAAUUAAAGAAGAGACACCUGUUUUCUACAAACUCGUUCCUGAUCCUGUGAAGAAUAUCUACAUUUAUCUAACAGCUGGGAAAGAGGUGAGGAGAAUUCGUGUUGCAAACUGCAAUAAACAUAAAUCCUGUUCGGAGUGUUUAACAGCCACAGACCCUCACUGCGGUUGGUGCCAUUCGCUACAAAGGUGCACUUUUCAAGGAGAUUGUGUACAUUCAGAGAACUUAGAAAACUGGCUGGAUAUUUCGUCUGGAGCAAAAAAGUGCCCCAAAAUUCAGAUAAUUCGAAGCAGUAAAGACAAGACUACAGUGACUAUGGUGGGAAGCUUCUCUCCAAGACACUCAAAGUGCAUGGUGAAGAAUGUGGACUCUAGCAGGGAGCUCUGCCAGAAUAAAAGUCAGCCCAACCGGACCUGCACCUGUAGCAUCCCAACCAGAGCAACCUACAAAGAUGUUUCAGUUGUCAACGUGAUGUUCUCCUUUGGUUCUUGGAAUUUAUCAGACAGAUUCAACUUUACCAACUGCUCAUCAUUAAAAGAAUGCCCAGCAUGCGUAGAAACUGGCUGCGCGUGGUGUAAAAGUGCAAGAAGGUGUAUCCACCCCUUCACAGCUUGCGACCCUUCUGAUUAUGAGAGAAACCAGGAACAGUGUCCAGUGGCUGUCGAGAAGACAUCAGGAGGAGGAAGAACCAAGGAGAACAAGGGGAACAGAACCAACCAGGCUUUACAGGUCUUCUACAUUAAGUCCAUUGAGCCACAGAAAGUAUCGACAUUAGGGAAAAGCAACGUGAUAGUAACGGGAGCAAACUUUACCCAGGCAUCGAACAUCACAAUGAUCCUGAAAGGAACCAGUACCUGUGAUAAGGAUGUGAUACAGGUUAGCCAUGUGCUAAAUGACACCCACAUGAAAUUCUCUCUUCCAUCAAGCCGGAAAGAAAUGAAGGAUGUGUGUAUCCAGUUUGAUGGUGGGAACUGCUCUUCUGUAGGAUCCUUAUCCUACAUUGCUCUGCCACAUUGUUCCCUUAUAUUUCCUGCUACCACCUGGAUCAGUGGUGGUCAAAAUAUAACCAUGAUGGGCAGAAAUUUUGAUGUAAUUGACAACUUAAUCAUUUCACAUGAAUUAAAAGGAAACAUAAAUGUGUCUGAAUAUUGUGUGGCGACUUACUGCGGGUUUUUAGCCCCCAGUUUAAAGAGUUCAAAAGUACGCACAAAUGUCACUGUGAAGCUGAGAGUACAAGACACCUACUUGGACUGUGGAACCCUGCAGUAUCGGGAGGACCCCAGAUUCACAGGGUAUCGGGUGGAAUCUGAGGUGGACACAGAACUGGAAGUGAAAAUUCAAAAAGAAAAUGACAACUUCAACAUUUCCAAAAAAGACAUUGAAAUUACUCUCUUCCAUGGGGAAAAUGGGCAAUUAAAUUGCAGUUUUGAAAAUAUUACUAGAAAUCAAGAUCUCACCACCAUCCUUUGCAAAAUUAAAGGCAUCAAGACUGCAAGCACCAUUGCCAACUCUUCUAAGAAAGUUCGGGUCAAGCUGGGAAACCUGGAGCUCUAUGUCGAGCAGGAGUCAGUUCCUUCCACGUGGUAUUUUCUGAUUGUGCUCCCUGUCUUGCUAGUGAUUGUCAUCUUUGCGGCCGUGGGGGUGACCAGGCACAAAUCGAAGGAGCUGAGUCGCAAACAGAGCCAACAACUAGAAUUGCUGGAAAGCGAGCUCCGGAAAGAGAUACGUGAUGGCUUUGCUGAGCUGCAGAUGGAUAAAUUGGAUGUGGUUGAUAGUUUUGGAACUGUUCCCUUCCUUGACUACAAACAUUUUGCUCUGAGAACUUUCUUCCCUGAGUCAGGUGGCUUCACCCACAUCUUCACUGAAGAUAUGCAUAACAGAGACGCCAACGACAAGAAUGAAAGUCUCACGGCUUUGGAUGCCCUAAUCUGUAAUAAAAGCUUUCUUGUUACUGUCAUCCACACUCUUGAAAAGCAGAAGAACUUUUCUGUGAAGGACAGGUGUCUGUUUGCCUCCUUCCUAACCAUUGCACUGCAAACCAAGCUGGUCUACCUGACCAGCAUCCUAGAGGUGCUGACCAGGGACUUGAUGGAACAGUGUAGUAACAUGCAGCCGAAACUCAUGCUGAGACGCACGGAAUCCGUGGUCGAAAAACUCCUCACAAACUGGAUGUCCGUCUGCCUUUCUGGUUUUCUUCGGGAGACUGUUGGAGAGCCCUUCUAUUUGCUGGUGACGACUCUGAACCAGAAAAUUAACAAGGGUCCCGUGGAUGUAAUCACUUGCAAAGCCCUGUACACACUUAAUGAAGACUGGCUGUUGUGGCAGGUUCCGGAAUUCAGUACUGUGGCAUUAAACGUCGUCUUUGAAAAAAUCCCGGAAAACGAGAGUGCAGAUGUCUGUCGGAAUAUUUCAGUCAAUGUUCUCGACUGUGACACCAUUGGCCAAGCCAAAGAAAAGAUUUUCCAAGCAUUCUUAAGCAAAAAUGGCUCUCCUUAUGGACUUCAGCUUAAUGAAAUUGGUCUUGAGCUUCAAGUGGGCACACGACAGAAAGAACUUCUGGACAUCGACAGUUCCUCUGUGAUUCUUGAAGAUGGAAUCACCAAGCUAAACACCAUUGGCCACUAUGAGAUAUCAAAUGGAUCCACUAUAAAAGUCUUUAAGAAGAUAGCAAAUUUUACUUCAGAUGUGGAAUACUCAGAUGACCACUGCCAUUUGAUUUUACCAGAUUCGGAAGCAUUCCAAGAUGUGCAAGGAAAGAGACAUCGAGGGAAGCAUAAGUUCAAAGUAAAAGAAAUGUAUCUGACAAAGCUGCUGUCGACCAAGCCUUCCUCUUCGCUUCUGGGUAAACAUCCUGAAGAACCCUCAGUUUGUCUUUGACAUUAAGAAGACACCACAUAUAGACGGCUGUUUGUCAGUGAUUGCCCAGGCAUUCAUGGAUGCAUUUUCUCUCACAGAGCAGCAACUAGGGAAGGAAGCACCAACUAAUAAGCUUCUCUAUGCCAAGGAUAUCCCAACCUACAAAGAAGAAGUAAAAUCUUAUUACAAAGCAAUCAGGGAUUUGCCUCCAUUGUCAUCCUCAGAAAUGGAAGAAUUUUUAACUCAGGAAUCUAAGAAACACGAAAAUGAAUUUAAUGAAGAAGUGGCCUUGACAGAAAUUUACAAAUACAUCGUAAAAUAUUUUGAUGAGGUAAGAUUUUAAAUAACAUUGUUUUUAACCUUUGAAUCAGGCACAAGGAUGUGGUUAUAGCAUUCUGUCAGUUUCAGAACAGCUCUGGCAUCCCAAAAGGCCAGAAAGGGAAGCCAGGAAGCCUGUCUGAGAUGGGGGAUCCUGGCACCGAGCCAGACCCUGCACAUGGCUGCCCCUCUUACAGUUUUAUCAUGCUGACCACAUUUGGACCAGCCUGAAUUUACAUUUGAGUUCAUGGGGCCUACAGUCACACUGAUUCAAGUUAACUUUGAUGAGUAAGUAGUGGCUCUAUUAAAUGGGGUCAGCUUAUGCCUGAUUGCUAAAAAUGAAAGCUAAGCUUGUUAAAUUGCCUAGAUUCUGUGUUCAAUCGUUAUAUGAAAUUAUGACAUAUUUCUAACUUAAGCGACUAUUUCAAUAAACCAUUCUCCUUUAUGAUUAAUUCUCCUUAAUCUGGGUUUUUUUUCUUUGGAAAUUCAAACAGACACAUUCAUCAGAUGCUUUGUUUCCAAACAAAUGUUAACUCCCCCUUCCCUGAUUCCCCCCCAAUCAUGCUGGGACAGGCUAUCCAUGUCAAUGGUGAGAAUAGCUCACCAAUUCCAUUUGCUACUUGAAGAUGAAGUGAAGCUCUAAGGUAGGGUAGAGGCAAUGAGUUCUUAAACAUGAUAAGCAUCCCUCGUUCCAGGGGUCAGGGGAGAGAAGGGAAGCACGAGGAGGGACUACACUGCCCAGAUGGGAGGGAAGGGAAGGAUCUCUCUCUGACCAGGAUGUCCCUGCCUGCUGCAUUUAAGGAGAAAUACUUGCCUGCAUGUUGGCUGCCCAGGAAUGCUUGCUGUGCUUGGAAUGGCUGUGACAUAAUGCAUAAAGCAGGGCCUUGGAAGCCUGGCCCCAUAUUUGUAAGCAAAUAGUUGGUAUUUCUUGCGAGCUUCUAUUUUAAGCCAAGGUAUUGUUGAUCCUGUGAUAAGGACUUAGCAAAACAACUUGCAAAGUGAGUAUGUAAAUGAUGGAAGAAAAUGUUGGCAUCUGUUUCAUACAGAUUUUACCACUCAUAGCAUCAGGUAUGCAAAAAACAGAAUUGUAAUGCUAAAACCACAAUAUCUAAAAUAACUGUUCUAAUUGUCAACAGAUUCUAAAUAAACUAGAAAGAGAACGAGGGCUGGAAGAAGCUCAGAAACAACUCUUGCAUGUAAAAGUCUUAUUUGAUGAAAAGAAGAAAUGCAAGUGGAUGUAAGCACUCUGGGGCCUGGCUUAAUCUGGCAAAGUUCUUCAGACGACUUGGGAGCAAAGUGGCUGCUUGAGCUACUCUGUGUCGUUAAUUUCUUGUUUGCACAUAGGUUCCACUUUGGGCACUGUCUUUUUAAGAGACCAAGGCACAUGCACAGCUUUUAGAAAGCAUACCAACCAUUGUGCCUGUGUGUAUACCGUGGGAACCCUUCUGUAAAUAGAGUUGAAGUGGUUGUUGCAAACAGCCUCCUUGUUUACAGAGAAUACAGGGCCAGUAAGCGAAUGUCAGUAUUGUUAACUACAGUCUCCACUUAAGCACAAUGAUAUAAGUGGUUUUGUUUGAAAACUACAGCUAUGUAGCACUUGUGCUACACUGCACCUCUGCAUUGUAAAGGGAUACUGCCAGUGCUCAAACAAAAUGUGAAAUGAGUCAUUUGGAAACAAGGUGGGGGUGUUAGGGCAACCUCGAGGAUUUGCAGCAUUGAAACUUUCCCCAGUAGUUCUUGGAAAAGCUGACCGCAGAAUUUGGUAGUGUACACUUAGCAUUUGUGAGUGUGUGUGUGUGUUUAAACCAAAAACUAACAGUGUUGCAACAUUGUUGAAAGGGCUCGUGUUUUUCAGUGGUCAUCAACUGCACUCCAUCAAGCUCACCUCCAUUUCGCCAAGGAGCUCUAAAGUAAGGAGAGUGGGCUUUAUUUAAAUGAACAGCAUUUUAACCAGAUACUUUGUCCUAAUGUAUGUUCCUUUUCUUCAUCUAUUUUUUCAUACUACAUGUAUUUGAUAGUGGACAUGUUGGAUAUUAUACAAAAAAACAUUAAUUCAUUUCUGUUCCAAAACCUUUGAUCAGAAAACGAUCUGUGGAAGAGUAACUCCAUUUCUAUAUGAGUGUCUCCUUGCUUUAGAUUUCUGGUGAACCCUGUGGUUAUGAAUACUUGUGUGUGAUUUAAAAAAAAAAAAGAUACAUUUUACAUUUCAUCGAAUUGCUGUUCACACUGGAGUAUUAUAUAUAAAUAUAUAUAUUUGAGGCCCAAGGCCUGAAAAAUAUUAGUAUACAACUUGGUAUCUUAGUCUUACUAUGUACUUUUUGAAAGUAUUCCUCGCAGGAGAAAGAAUUAUAAAAUACCCAUUUUAUUCAUGCCUUUCUUUUUAAAGAAUUCUCUAUCCAGUUAUACUGUAGUCUUUUUAGUGCUGAUUUUUUAUUCCUGAAUUUUUGCUGCUCAUGACCAGUUUUAAUACCACUGUGUUUUCCUUCUAUUAAACCAGAAGAAGUAAACAGCAUAAUUGGCAACCCUUGAGCUUUUCUUGUGGCAGGCACCUUUUACCCUUGGUGCUCCAAAUCCCCCAUCUAGGAAAGAAAUUUUUUCAAGUCAAAUAACAUCGAUCACAUAUUCCUUGAAAUCAUUUACCAACACUGUAUGGAGCAUUAGGAUUUAAAUAUGAGCUUGUCUUAAAGGCAAUUACUUUUUGCUUCUGUAUUAUCUGGAAAAGCAUGAGAAAGGUGACACCUCAACAAACUGAUCAGAGAAAAUAAGCAGUUACUACCCUGAUAGGCACCUUCCCAAUCCUGUUGCUUUUGACCAUUGUCUGUCCAACGGACACACCUCAAACAAACAAAACUACCAAAUAGAUGACAGAUCAGAAUAAAGGUGAGAGGUCUGGUCCCCAUCUAAGGCUGCUACAGUCUUCAAAGAAGUGAAGGAGUUCAUAAGAGAACAACAGUAGGAGAGUUGAGAGCCAAGGGUAGGAGAGUUGCCCAAAAGACUUCCCCUUCUUUAGGGUACUGAAAACUCAACUCAAAGGAUCAGCUACAGCUUUAUCUAAGUAUUUACUAAAUGCUACAUGAGGGUGUCCCUGUCCAGCUUUCUGGCACAUGAGUCCUGUGUGGAGAGUUACCUCCUCUUCCAGGGACUGUGCUGUUGGGAACUUUGGGCAAGUCACUUACCUCUUUGUGCCUCAAUUUCUGUAUAAUAUUGCUAAGCUACCUCACUGAGGUGGUAUGAAGAUUCACUAAUGUAUGUAGCGUGUUUGUCAAUCCUCCAGUGAAAAGCACUAUCUAGAUCACAUUUUGGAUCACAUUAGCCAAAUGCAGUAAAUGGCCAAAUUAGAUGUGUGCUGAAGACAAUCAAUCAGUCACUGGGUCUAUAUUAAACAGCAACCAGAGCAACAAAUGGCAAACAAUUUCUAUUUUCAAGUUUCUUUGCAUAUUUUUUUGGUGCAAAACAAUUCAUUUAUAAACUUUUUUUUCUAACAAACACUAGUGUCUACAGCAGCAUUUAAAAAAUUCUGUUACCUUUUCUGUAUUAGGAUUUAAAGUCUAUUUCUUAUUGUAUACCUGAUUGAAGCUGUUCUUGGAGAUGAAUGUUUUAAAUGUCUAUAUCCAAAAAAUAAACAUUUUGAUGUAA